rnacentral:lncRNA from 10 species
GUGGAAAUUAAGAAAAAAGCAAUUGCAAGAUGUCUCCAGUUUUGCAGACCUGCAUGCAGCUGGCUUCCCUUAAGGCUGCCUGCUGAGCUGUGGGAAGAGCUCGGCUGGCUUGGCCAGGCCUCCGGGGUACCCCUGCAGCCGUGGGGUUACUUAUUCCUGAGAUGGGGCAGCGGAGGCAAUUUGAUGGAGGCAACUUUCAUUCUAACUGCUCUUCCGGCAAAGCUCCUCUCUGGGGAUCUCAGACUGGCACCUUUCACCAUUGUUAAAUUCACUUAAGAUAAAAGCGACACCAGGCAAAUGACAAGGGAAGAGCCAUUAAGGGAUGAGCGUAAGCAGUGACUGACAGGCAGGCUCUGCGAAGCGCUCAGCUGCCAGCCCCAGCCUUGGCAGGAAUCAUCACCCCGAGUGCCUCCCAUAGCCAGCGCUUGACAAAUGGGCAAGAUUCAGUCCAAGCCUAUGGGCUCAGCCCUUUGUUUCCCAGAGCCUCAGCCUCCAUGCCUAUUCACCCACACACUACCAGCCCCUCCACCCAGGAACAGCAUCAGCAACCACGCAGAGAGGAGCCCAUUGCUGCUGAAGGUGAGAGGCUGUCCUCUGCCUGCUUUCAGGACUCCUGGUUCUCAGGCUGCUAGACCUGAACUGGAAUCUACAGCCACUGGCUCUCUGGCUUUCAGGUCUUCAAACUACAUCACCAGCUUUCCUGGGCCUGAACCUUGCCAAUGACAGAUUGUGGGACUUCUCAGCCUCCAUAAACAUCCAACAGCAACUGCCCAUUGGAAGCACAUUGGAAUGGCAAUCCAACAUCCAAAAUGGCUGGGAAAGUGAAGUACUUCAGUUAUUGGAAUAUACUAGUUAGCUGACAAUUUCCAUCUGCCAAUAUCACAAGUGAGAGGACUAUUUCUAAACACUUAACACUAAAUUAUACAGAACAAAAUUCCGUCUUCUUUGGACUAUUCAAAUGUCAUUUUGAAAUGGCUGCUGCAUGGCCAGCAGACUGAGGUGAGAGAAAUUUGUAGCUGUAGAGAAUCCUCAUUAAUGCAGUGAGGCCUUCCCUUUCUAGGCAAUUCCUGGAUCUAAGAGAGAUUAACUGAGACUGACACCUUUAAAGGUCUGAAAAGAUAUUUACUGUCUACUCUCUCGGAGCACUGCUCUCUAUGAGGCUUCAUCCAUAUAACAAAGCUACCUUUGCUAGAUCGGCGUCUUCCUUUCUCCCUCUCAUAAUCUGUCUUGCCACUAAACCUGAUUUACCAACAUAACCAGUUUUGGGCUACACUCUGAGCUCACAUUUUUUUCUAUAACCUCAGGAUGGAAUAUAAGAUUCUGUGCCUUAUUGUUGGCUUGGGUCUUUAUUCUGAAGGUUCCUUUGUGUGCAUGUUAAAUAAGUUUGUAUGCCUUUUCUCCUAUUAAAGCAAAAACAAAAACAAAAGUCAUUUGCAGUGAUUCAGGGUAAUCAUUAUAACCUAAUUUCUCAAUGCAGAGUUUCAGGUGAUGUUUUGAAAAGUUCUGCCUGGGCAACAUGGCGAGACCCCACAUCUACAAAAAAUUUAAAACUCAGCUGGGCAUGGUGGCAUGCACCUGUAGUCCCAGCUACUUGAGAGGCUGAGGUGGAAGGAUUGCUUGAACCCAGGAGUUCAAGACUGUAGUGAACUGUGAUAAUGCCACUGCACUCCAGCCUAGAUGACAGAGUGAGACCCUAUCUCAGAAAAAAAAAAAAGAAAGGAAAAGAAGAGCUCUAAGUGGCAAAGAAUUAUGGAAAUGUAGAGGUUUAUUAUUUCAGUUUUCAAAUAGGGAGAAACUGUAUUGACCAGAUUCAUCAAGAAAUGACAUAUCUUAAAAGCUUCUUUUUUGGGUAAGUUUCUAAUAGCAACUUGUUUACAUGUCAUUUACCUCUUCCUCAUAAAAGCAAAAUAAAGAAUAUGUAAAAAUUCCUGUUUCAGCUUUUGAUGGUGUUCCAGAUGAAUGUGUUUAACUAUAAUUUUAAUAUCUCAAAACACUGUCAGUCAUAAAUUUUUUUCAGUAUGUGUCAAUAAUAAAAAUAAGGAUGAUAAUAACAGGGAAGCAUCACAAUGAAGGAAAAAAGUACUUUCUUCUACCCUGUGGAUGCAUGAAGUGAGGAAUCUAUAGGCAGACCCAGCACUGCUCAUAACUAGCCCUAUAGCCAUGGCCUUGGGCAAGUCAAUUAUUCUUUUUGGAACAUGAUUUUUUCAUAGAUAAUGAAAAGGUAGGAGGGUGGUGGGAAAAGGGAAAGGAGCAGAAAAGAUAACUAUUGGGUACUGAGCUUAAUACCUGGGUGAUGAAAUAAUAUGUACAACAAACCCCCAUGACACGUGUUUACCUAUGUAACAAAUUUUCACAUGUACCCCUAAACGUAAAAU